rnacentral:sRNA from 1 species
UCGAUCUGCUGCGGGCAAAUGAAGUGGAUAUGGCAGUCGAACCCGCCAGCCGUGAUGAUUUUGCCUUCGCCUGCAAUCGCCUCAGUCGAGGGGCCAAUGAUGAUAUCCACGCCGUCCUGAAUAUCAGGAUUGCCAGCUUUGCCGAUGGCCACGAUCCGGCCAUCCUUGAUGCCGAUGUCAGCUUUUACGAUGCCCCAAUAGUCCAGAAUAACAGCAUUUGUAAUGACGGUAUCAACGGCACCAUCGCGGCGACGGACCUGGGAUUGGCCCAUGCCAUCGCG